CCAGGGGAAUCCACGUGCUUAUGGAGACGAUUGUGAUUUCUACAUCGUGACUUUGCUUUGAGUGACGACGUGGUGGUCGUGCGGGGCCAGAGUCUCCACCUCUUCUGAUGUGUAUCUCGCUGUUAUCGGAAAUAAGGAUCUUGGCAUUGCUCUGAAUUUACGCGGAUCGAUAUCAGCCCGGGGCUACUAGUACGACAUACUGGAGCUCUGAAUUUGUCGUUUCAAUGCCAAACAUCUCAAUCGAACUACCCACCAAUCACAAUCACAAUCACAAUCAAAUAACCCGGAGAAUCCCCUUGGAAAUCUCCAUUUCCCCAGACCAACAUGGUUUCGGCACUCCAGGCCAUGGCCUGGUUUUUGAAACCGUUGAAAGCCAACCUAAAGACGACUGAGGAAAUGUCCGAUGCCCUAACCUCGAGGAAGCCGGGGACGAACUGCUCACCUUAGCGAAGAUACAAGCAUUCUUGGGAGUCCACCAUUUGAUAGCUGCCACCCAAUAAAGCACCAUCGGAGCCGUGUAUACAUAUUGCGGGGUAAAUUCCUGAUGGUUUGAGUCCUUU
rnacentral:misc_RNA from 1 species